AUUAUUGGGCCUAAGCAUCCGUAGCCGGCUCUGUAAGUCCUCGGUUAAAUCUGUACGCUUAACGUACAGGCUGCCGGGAAUACUGCAUAGCUAGGGAGUGGGAGAGGUAGACGGUACUCGGUAGGAAGGGGUAAAAUCCUUUGAUCUAUUGAUGACCACCUGUGGCGAAGGCGGUCUACCAGAACACGUCCGACGGUGAGGGAUGAAAGCUGGGGGAGCAAACCGGAUUAGAUACCCGGGUAGUCCCAGCUGUAAACUAUGCAAACUCAGUGAUGCAUUGGCUUGUGGCCAAUGCAGUGCUGCAGGGAAGCCGUUAAGUUUGCCGCCUGGGAAGUACGUACGCAAGUAUGAAACUUAAAGGAAUUGGCGGGGGAGCACA
rnacentral:rRNA from 1 species